rnacentral:rRNA from 1 species
GACGAACGCUGGCGGCGUGCCUAAUACAUGCAAGUAGAACGCUGAAGAGAGGAGCUUGCUCUUCUUGGAUGAGUUGCGAACGGGUGAGUAACGCGUAGGUAACCUGCCUUGUAGCGGGGGAUAACUAUUGGAAACGAUAGCUAAUACCGCAUAACAAUGGAUGACACAUGUCAUUUAUUUGAAAGGGGCAAAUGCUCCACUACAAGAUGGACCUGCGUUGUAUUAGCUAGUAGGUGAGGUAACGGCUCACCUAGGCGACGAUACAUAGCCGACCUGAGAGGGUGAUCGGCCACACUGGGACUGAGACACGGCCCAGACUCCUACGGGAGGCAGCAGUAGGGAACCUUCGGCAAUGGGGGCAACCCUGACCGAGCAACGCCGCGUGAGUGAAGAAGGUUUUCGGAUCGUAAAGCUCUGUUGUAAGUCAAGAACGAGUGUGAGAGUGGAAAGUUCACACUGUGACGGUAGCUUACCAGAAAGGGACGGCUAACUACGUGCCAGCAGCCGCGGUAAUACGUAGGUCCCGAGCGUUGUCCGGAUUUAUUGGGCGUAAAGCGAGCGCAGGCGGUUUGAUAAGUCUGAAGUUAAAGGCUGUGGCUCAACCAUAGUUCGCUUUGGAAACUGUCAAACUUGAGUGCAGAAGGGGAGAGUGGAAUUCCAUGUGUAGCGGUGAAAUGCGUAGAUAUAUGGAGGAACACCGGUGACGAAAGCGGCUCUCUGGUCUGUAACUGACGCUGAGGAUCGAAAGCGUGGGGAGCGAACAGGAUUAGAUACCCUGGUAGUCCACGCCGUAAACGAUGAGUGCUAGGUGUUGGAUCCUUUCCGGGAUUCAGUGCCGCAGCUAACGCAUUAAGCACUCCGCCUGGGGAGUACGACCGCAAGGUUGAAACUCAAAGGAAUUGACGGGGGCCCGCACAAGCGGUGGAGCAUGUGGUUUAAUUCGAAGCAACGCGAAGAACCUUACCAGGUCUUGACAUCCCGAUGCUAUUUCUAGAGAUAGAAAGUUACUUCGGUACAUUGGUGACAGGUGGUGCAUGGUUGUCGUCAGCUCGUGUCGUGAGAUGUUGGGUUAAGUCCCGCAACGAGCGCAACCCCUAUUGUUAGUUGCCAUCAUUCAGUUGGGCACUCUAGCAAGACUGCCGGUAAUAAACCGGAGGAAGGUGGGGAUGACGUCAAAUCAUCAUGCCCCUUAUGACCUGGGCUACACACGUGCUACAAUGGUUGGUACAACGAGUUGCGAGUCGGUGACGGCAAGCUAAUCUCUUAAAGCCAAUCUCAGUUCGGAUUGUAGGCUGCAACUCGCCUACAUGAAGUCGGAAUCGCUAGUAAUCGCGGAUCAGCACGCCGCGGUGAAUACGUUCCCGGGCCUUGUACACACCGCCCGUCACACCACGAGAGUUUGUAACACCCGAAGUCGAAGAGGUAACCUUUUGGAGCCAGCCGCCUA